rnacentral:rRNA from 1 species
AGUGAACGCUGGCGGCGUGCUUAACACAUGCAAGUCGAACGAGAACGGAAUAUAGCUUGCUAUAUUUGUCAGCUAAGUGGCGCACGGGUGAGUAAUGUAUAGAUAACCUGCCCUUAAGAAAGGAAUAACAGUUGGAAACGACUGCUAAUGCCCUAUAUGCCUUUAAUACAUAAGUAUGCAAGGGAAACGCUUUAGUGCUUAAGGAUGGGUCCGUAUGGUAUCAGCUUGUUGGUGAGGUAAUGGCUCACCAAGGCUAUGACGCCUAACUGGUUUGAGAGGAUGAUCAGUCACACUGGAACUGAGACACGGUCCAGACUCCUACGGGAGGCAGCAGUGGGGAAUAUUGCACAAUGGACGAAAGUCUGAUGCAGCAACGCCGCGUGGAGGAUGACACAUUUCGGUGCGUAAACUCCUUUUAUAUAGGAAGAUAAUGACGGUACUAUAUGACUAAGCACCGGCUAACUCCGUGCCAGCAGCCGCCGUAA